GAUGAACGCUGGCGGCGUGCCUAAUACAUGCAAGUCGAGCGAACAGAUGAGGAGCUUGCUCCUCUGACGUUAGCGGCGGGCGGGUGAGUAACACGUGGAUAACCUACCUAUAAGACUGGGAUAACUUCGGGAAACCGGAGCUAAUACCGGAUAAUAUAUUGAACCGCAUGGUUGAAUAGUGAAAGACGGUUGUGGUGUCACUUAUAGAUGGAUCCGCGCCGGAUUAGCGAGUUGGUAAGGUAACGGCUUACCACGGCAACGAUGCGUAGCCGACCUGAGAGGGUGUUCGGCGCCAGAGGAGCUGAGACACGGUCCAGAGUCCGACGGGAGGCAGCAGUAGGGAAGCGUCCGAAAUGGGCGAAAGACUGACGGAGCAACGGCGCGCGGGUGAUGAAGCGCCGCGGGUCGUAAAACGGUGUUAUGAGGGAAGAACAAAUGUGUCAGUAACGAUGCGCGUGUGGACGUUACCUAAUCAGAAAGACACGGCUAAUUACGG
rnacentral:rRNA from 1 species